UACAAUGGACGGUACAACGAGUCGCAAACUCGCGAGAGUAAGCUAAUCUCUUAAAGCCGUUCUCAGUUCGGACUGUAGGCUGCAACCCGACUCCAUGAAGCUGGAUUCGCUAGUAAUCGCGCAUCAGCCACGGCGCGGUGAAUACGUUCCCGGGCCUUGUACACACCGCCCGUCAAGCCAUGAAAGCCGGGGGUACCUGAAGUGCGUAACCGCGAGGAGCGCCCUAGGGUAAAACUGGUGAUUGGGGCUAAGUCGUAACAAGGUACC
rnacentral:rRNA from 1 species